rnacentral:rRNA from 1 species
AUACGGAGGAUCCGAGCGUUAUCCGGAUUUAUUGGGUUUAAAGGGAGCGUAGGUGGAUUGUUAAGUCAGUUGUGAAAGUUUGCGGCUCAACCGUAAAAUUGCAGUUGAAACUGGCAGUCUUGAGUACAGUAGAGGUGGGCGGAAUUCGUGGUGUAGCGGUGAAAUGCUUAGAUAUCACGAAGAACUCCGAUUGCGAAGGCAGCUCACUAGACUGUUACUGACACUGAUGCUCGAAAGUGUGGGUAUCGAACAGGAUUAGAUACCCUGGUAGUCCACACAGUAAACGAUGAAUACUCGCUGUUUGCGAUAUACAGUAAGCGGCCAAGCGAAAGCAUUAAGUAUUCCACCUGGGGAGUACGCCGGCAACGGUGAAACUCAAAGGAAUUGACGGGG